rnacentral:lncRNA from 1 species
CUCAGCUAUUUUCUUGUGCAGCCUCGGGGAGGGCAGGUGGAGGGAAGGAAGGGCAUGGCUCAGAAUGUUAAAAAAAAAAAAAAAAAAAACCUUGACAUCACUGAAGUCACAUGAUUGGCGGGAACCAAUGAAGAUGGGCUGUGGAAAGGGGAACAGUUAAAUUUGUAAUUUGGGUUGUGUGAAAACUUCUUUGGGGCCUCAUAAACAACCACAGAACCACAAGUUGGGUAGCCUGGCAGUGUCAGAAGUCUGAGCCCAGCAGCAGUGGUCAGCUGGCAGGUCGAGUCACACUGACUGGAAACCACAGGGUUUCGUAGGGUGGUAAGCAUCCUCAACCCGCAGCCCAGCCACCGCCGUGUGUGUGCGCUUUUUUUUUUUUUUUUAAUCUUUGACAAUUUGAAUAUUUGUUUUCGAAAAGGUACAUUUUUUCAGACGGCUUGGGGCGUCCCAGAGGAGUCGAGGUUUUUAAAAAAAGAGAGAGAGAGAUGUCAAGAGUGAUGGCAAGGGGGUGAAGUUCAAACAAUGACCCCUUCUUGGUUUUUGCUCCCAAGGUGAAAGAAAUCAUUUCGUCGCCCGCCUUAAGAAGAGUGUGCACUUGGAGGAGGAAGCGAUGGCUUCAGACAGCAUAUUUGAGUCAUUUCCUUCAUACCCUCAGUGCUUCGUGAGAGGAUCCCCUCGCUGCCUGGAGACCAGGGAUGCACAACUCCCUCCCCACCGCCCUCCCCCC